GUGGUUGUAGCUCAGUUGGUAGAGCCCCGGAUUGUGAUUCCGGUUGUCGUGGGUUCGAACCCCAUCAUCCACC
rnacentral:tRNA from 1 species